rnacentral:rRNA from 1 species
UACAGAGGGGGUAAGCGUUGUUCGGAAUUACUGGGCGUAAAGGGCGCGUAGGCGGCCUGUUAAGUCGAACGUGAAAUCCCCGGGCUCAACCCGGGAACUGCGUCCGAUACUGGCAGGCUUGAAUUCGGGAGAGGGAUGUGGAAUUCCGGGUGUAGCGGUGGAAUGCGUAGAGAUCCGGAAGAACACCGGUGGCGAAGGCGGCCUGCUGGGCUAUGGCUGACACUGAGGCGCGACAGCGUGGGGAGCAAACAGG